GCCAGACUCCUACGGGAGGCAGCAGUGGGGGAUAUUGCACAAUGGGGGGAACCCUGAUGCAGCGACGCCGCGUGGGUGAAGGAGCGUUUCGGCGCGUAAAGCCCUAUCGGCAGGGAAGAAGGAGGACGGUACCUGACUAAGAAGCCCCGGCUAACUACGUGCCAGCAGCCGCGGUAAUACGUAGGGGGCAAGCGUUAUCCGGAUUUACUGGGUGUAAAGGGGGCGCAGACGGCGAUGCAAGCCAGGAGUGAAAGCCCGGGGCCCAACCCCGGGACUGCUCUUGGAACUGCGUGGCUGGAGUGCAGGAGGGGCAGGCGGAAUUCCUGGUGUAGCGGUGAAAUGCGUAGAUAUCAGGAGGAACACCGGUGGCGAAGGCGGCCUGCUGGACUGCAACUGACGUUGAGGCCCGAAAGCGUGGGGAGCAAACAGGAUUAGAUACCCCUGUAU
rnacentral:rRNA from 1 species